CCUACGGGAGACAGCAGUGGGGAAUAUUGCACAAUGGGGGAAACCCUGAUGCAGCGACGCCGCGUGAGUGAAGAAGUAUUUCGGUACGUAAAGCUCUAUCAGCAGGGAAGAAAAUGACGGUACCUGACUAAGAAGCCCCGGCUAACUACGUGCCAGCAGCCGCGGUAAUACGUAGGGGGCAAGCGUUAUCCGGAUUUACUGGGUGUAAAGGGAGCGUAGACGGCAGCGCAAGUCUGGAGUGAAAUCCCAUGGCUUAACCAUGGAACUGCUUUGGAAACUGUGCAGCUAGAGUGCAGGAGAGGUAAGCGGAAUUCCUAGUGUAGCGGGGAAAUGCGUAGAUAUUAGGAGGAACACCAGUGGCGAAGGCGGCUUACUGGACUGUAACUGACGUUGAGGCUCGAAAGCGUGGGGAGCAAACAGGAUUAGAUACCCGGGUAGUC
rnacentral:rRNA from 1 species